UACGGGGGGGGUAAGCGUUGUUCGGAAUUACUGGGCGUAAAGGGCUCGUAGGCGGCCAACUAAGUCAGACGUGAAAUCCCUCAGCUUAACUGGGGAACUGCGUCUGAUACUGGAUGGCUUGGAUUUGGGAGAGGGAUGCGGAAUUCCAGGUGUAGCGGUGAAAUGCGUAGAUAUCUGGAGGAACACCGGUGGCGAAGGCGGCGUCCUGGACCAACACUGACACUGAUGAGCGAAAGCCAGGGGAGCAAACGGG
rnacentral:rRNA from 1 species